CUGAGUACGGCGGAACACGUGAAAUUCCGUCGGAAUCCGGGAGGACCAUCUCCCAAGGCUAAAUACUCCCUAGUGACCGAUAGUGAACCAGUACCGUGAGGGAAAGGUGAAAAGCACCCCGGAAGGGGAGUGAAACAGUUCCUGAAACCGUGUGCCUACAAGUAGUUAGAGCCCGUUAAUGGGUGAUAGCGUGCCUUUUGUAGAAUGAACCGGCGAGUUACGAUUUGUUGCAAGGUUAAGCGGAAAAAGCGGAGCCGUAGCGAAAGCGAGUCUGAAUAGGGCGCAUAAGUAACAGGUCGUAGACCCGAAACCAGGUGAUCUACCCAUGUCCAGGAUGAAGGUAAGGUAAUACUUACUGGAGGUCCGAACCCACGCACGUUGAAAAGUGCGGGGAUGAGGUGUGGGUAGCGGAGAAAUUCCAAUCGAACUUGGAGAUAGCUGGUUCUCUCCGAAAUAGCUUUAGGGCUAGCCUCGAGGUAAAGAGUCAUGGAGGUAGAGCACUGUUUGGACUAGGGGCCCUUCUCGGGUUACCGAAUUCAGAUAAACUCCGAAUGCCAUGUACUUAUACUCGGGAGUCAGACUGCGAGUGAUAAGAUCCGUAGUCGAAAGGGAAACAGCCCAGACCACCAGUUAAGGUCCCCAAAUAUAUGUUAAGUGGAAAAGGAUGUGGGGUUGCUUAGACAACCAGGAUGUUGGCUUAGAAGCAGCCACCAUUGAAAGAGUGCGUAAUAGCUCACUGGUCGAGUGACCCCGCGCCGAAAAUGUACCGGGGCUAAACAUAUUACCGAAACUGUGGAUGAACCUCUUUAGAGGUUCGUGGUAGGAGAGCGUUCUAAGGGCGGUGAAGUCAGACCGGAAGGACUGGUGGAGCGCUUAGAAGUGAGAAUGCCGGUAUGAGUAGCGAAAGAAGGGUGAGAAUCCCUUCCACCGAAUAUCUAAGGUUUCCUGAGGAAGGCUCGUCCGCUCAGGGUUAGUCGGGACCUAAGCCGAGGCCGAUAGGCGUAGGCGAUGGACAACAGGUAGAGAUUCCUGUACCAGUGCUAAUUGUUUAACCGAUGGGGUGACACAGAAGGAUAGGGAAUCGCACGAAUGGAAAUGUGCGUCCAAGCAGUGAGUGUGAGAAGUAGGCAAAUCCGCUUCUCGCGAAGCAUGAGCUGUGAUGGGGAAGGAAAUUAAGUACGGAAGUUCCUGAUUUCACGCUGUCAAGAAAAGCCUCUAGGAAGAGUAGUACUGCCCGUACCGCAAACCGACACAGGUAGAUGAGGAGAGAAUCCUAAGGUGAGCGAGAGAACUCUCGUUAAGGAACUCGGCAAAAUGACCCCGUAACUUCGGGAGAAGGGGUGCUCUAUUAGGGUGCAAGCCCGAGAGAGCCGCAGUGAAUAGGCCCAGGCGACUGUUUAGCAAAAACACAGGUCUCUGCAAAACCGUAAGGUGACGUAUAGGGGCUGACGCCUGCCCGGUGCUGGAAGGUUAAGAGGAGUGCUUAGCUUCGGCGAAGGUACGAAUUGAAGCCCCAGUAAACGGCGGCCGUAACUAUAACGGUCCUAAGGUAGCGAAAUUCCUUGUCGGGUAAGUUCCGACCCGCACGAAAGGCGCAACGAUCUGGGCACUGUCUCAACGAGAGACUCGGUGAAAUUAUAGUACCUGUGAAGAUGCAGGUUACCCGCGACAGGACGGAAAGACCCCGUGGAGCUUUACUGCAACCUGAUAUGGAAUGUUUGUACCGCUUGUACAGGAUAGGUAGGAGCCGAAGAGACGUGUGCGCUAGCAUACGAGGAGGCAAUGGUGGGAUACUACCCUGGCUGUAUGACCAUUCUAACCCGCCACGCUUAGCGCGUGGGGAGACAGUGUCAGGUGGGCAGUUUGACUGGGGCGGUCGCCUCCUAAAGAGUAACGGAGGCGCCCAAAGGUUCCCUCAGAAUGGAUGGAAAUCAUUCGCAGAGUGUAAAGGCACAAGGGAGCUUGACUGCGAGACUGACAAGUCGAGCAGGGACGAAAGUCGGGCUUAGUGAUCCGGUGGUUCCGCAUGGAAGGGCCAUCGCUCAACGGAUAAAAGCUACCCCGGGGAUAACAGGCUUAUCUCCCCCAAGAGUCCACAUCGACGGGGAGGUUUGGCACCUCGAUGUCGGCUCGUCGCAUCCUGGGGCUGUAGUCGGUCCCAAGGGUUGGGCUGUUCGCCCAUUAAAGCGGCACGCGAGCUGGGUUCAGAACGUCGUGAGACAGUUCGGUCCCUAUCCGUCGCGGGCGCAGGAAAUUUGAGAGGAGCUGUCCUUAGUACGAGAGGACCGGGAUGGACACACCGCUGGUGUACCAGUUGUUCCGCCAGGAGCAUCGCUGGGUAGCUAUGUGUGGCAGGGAUAAACGCUGAAAGCAUCUAAGCGUGAAGCCCCCCUCAAGAUGAGAUUUCCC
rnacentral:rRNA from 1 species